UGACAAAACCUAGUUCGAUCAACAAACCUACGCCUGUUAGGUCAGCUGCUUCCGUAGAUAACGCCUAUUUUACCAGAUGCUACCGAAAUAAAGCAAGAGGAUGUACCUCGAAUCCAACCUCAACCAUCACCACCAAUAGACAUGCUCAAUUUAAACCAGCCCCAACCCCAGCUGCCGGUGCAAGAUCCACAAGCCACAACGAGUGUCGCUAGUUUCGAUUUGCUUGGAGCAUUCGGGGAUGAUAAUUCAUCUGGCAUUGGCUCGGCUCCAAUACCUGAUAUUUUAGAAAUUAAUGUACAACCAAGUUCAAAUGUCAACCUUGAUGAUAUCUUCGGCUCAGUUGCUUCAUCGGCGCCGAAAAUCAACCUGGAGUUUAAUAGUUUUUCUGUAAACCAGCCGACACCAACUAGUGCAAACCAACCUGGUGUAUUGGUGUGUGUCACGUCAGUCUCAGCAAAAUAGUCUUGCAUCAACAACCAGAGCUCAGUACGUCAUAGUUAUUUUUCUUCUCUGUUUUUGGAAGCUAGUGCAAUGAGUAUAUUAUAUACAUAUAUUUGCAGUAUAUUAUAUUUUCAUUGAUCCGCUUAGUUAAGUUUAACUAUAACGAAGCAAAAUGAUGUGUAAAACUAAGUAAUUGCUUUUAAAUCUAAGUAAAAAAACAUACAUUUUAAAUGACAAUUAUUAAAAAGAUACAUGCAUACAUAUAUACGUUAAGAACAUAAAUAUAUAUAGGAUAUAAAAUUAAUCUCUUUGUCAACUUAAUUGCGGCCC